rnacentral:rRNA from 1 species
GUAGUCUCCAGAUGCAUCGCCAAUGGAGGCGCAGAUGUAAGCCUCUUGGAAAAGAGCAUCAACGAGGGUGAGAGUCCCGUUUGUCAUCUGCAGUCCCCCAUGCACGGCGUGCCUUCUAAGAGUCGCGUUCCUCGGAAUUGGAGCGUAAAUUGGGUGGUAAAUUUCAUCUCAAGCUAAAUAUUGGUUCGAGACCGAUAGCAAACAAGUACCAUGAGGGAAAGGUGAAAAGGACUUUGAAAAGAGAGUUAAAAGUGCCUGAAAUUGCUGAAAGGGAAGCGAAUGGCAACCAGUGUUGCUUGGCGAGUAUUGUCUAUACGCAUUCGCGUGUGGUGGUUCUUGCCUUGUGUGUCGAACGCCAGUUCGCGGAUCGGAGGAAAACUCUUGGGACAUGGUAGCCUGUCUUCGGGCGGGUGAAUGUGCCUUGUAGAACUCAUUUGCGGACUGAUUACUUCGUGUCUGGUUGCAGCGCUUCUUGUCGCUUGGACGUGCUUGGGCGUGGGAGCUUGCUCC